rnacentral:lncRNA from 1 species
UUGGUAUUCCUCUGUCCACCAAAAAGAUUGCCUUGAUUCAAUGGCAACCUUUAGUGGAGAAGAUUACUGCUAAGAUCACAUCAUGGACUGCCACAAAAUUAUCACCUUUAGUGGAGAAGAUUACUGCAAAGAUCAUUUCAUGGACUGCCAAGAAAUUAUCAUAUACUGGGAGGCUGCAAUUAGUACAAUCAGUGAUAUUUGGCAUUCAAGCAUAUUGGGCUCAACUGUUCAUUAUUCCAGCUAAAGUAACGAAGAUGAUUGAAGCAAUAUGUAGAAGUUUUGUUUGGUCUGGAUCAAAUUCCAUUACUAAAAAAGCUUAUGUAUCUUAGGACAGAAUGUGUACUCCUAAAUCAGCUGGUGGAAUGAACCUUAUCAAUCUUCUGCUAUGGAACAAGGCUGCAAUUGCAAAAAUUUGCUGGGAUCUAGCUCACAAGAAAGAC